GUUUCUCAAAACAAGGAAAGCACGAAGUUAGCUCAUCACGGCAGCUCGCCUAAAACAGAGAAAGCACAACAGUUCACCAAAAUAUAUUUUCAUCUACUCUAAUCUUGGGUUCAGUAUAUAGAUUGAAAAUUAGGAUGAUCAAGUAUGAAUUGUACUAUCAGAUAUUCAUUCAUCGCUCCUGGUGCAAUUGGAAAAGGAUGAGGACUAGCUGACGAGGGCUUAAGUCUCUGACAUCAAAAGGCAAAUUUCUAAGCACUAUUGGUAAGGGAUGAGAACAAGGACUUACAAACCUUACCAUGUCUUCUAAUUAAGGAAAUGGAGUGAUACAUAAGAACUAUGUGGUUCUUGAGAAAGAGUGCAUGCAAGUUUAUACUCUAUUUCCUUCUUCUACUAAUGAAGUUAAGAAAUACACCCAAGGA